ensembl:lncRNA
CAGAAAUGUGUUUUAAAUUAAAAAAAUAGAUUCUUGAUAUUCUUCCAUCUAGGUCAUGAAGGAAAAGUAACAGACAGUGUUGCUUUAAGGCCAGUAGUUCAUCCAUAUGCCCAAGCUGUGAGCAGUUUCAUGGGGAGUCAGCACCAGUAAUCUGUGUUGAUGGCAUGUUGUAACCUCACGAAGAUACUGAUAGAUGGUGUAACAAGGACUCUCUGAAUUAAUAAAGAGGAAAGAGAGGAAAAUAUGAACAUAAGUUAGAGAAUUUGACCCAGCUUCCUCAGAGGAAGAAAAAGGCCCAGAAAGCUACAGUAAGAAGAUGAAGUCUCUGCAGC